AUUCCAGAUUAGCCCGAAUUUCAGCGUCCUCCACGUCAAUCGCACGCCUCAGGGAAAGCCGGUCGCCAACCCCCGGAGCCAGGCGCCGAGGCGCUGCGCGCUCCCCUCACAGCCCUCUGAGGGGGCGGGGGGCGGGUUAGGAACCGGCCGCGGGUCAGCCGAGCCCCAUCGUACUUUAACACCCCUCUUACAACCAAAUAUUCGAACUAGAUUCAUCAGCUGUAAUUCAAAUUGAUUUAGACAGAUGUGGUGAGCUAAACCUCGGCUGUCCUGCCUGCACUUAGGGGAUCCCCAGUGGCGGUCGGGAGGCUCAGGCACGGGUGCUGGUGAGGGAGGUACUUACUCCACAUUAGAAUCUCCUAAGCACCAGACAUGAGGAAAUACAACUCCAAGGUUGUUUGUAGGUGGAAGUAACACUGAAUCUUCAAGGGUGUGCAUUGCAUUUCACCUGCUAUGAAACACGGAUGUGUUUAUAGUAAGCCAGAUCGGUUCCUGAUCCAACUCACUCUGCGGUUUUACAGCCAGCACUGCACAAGAAAUGCAAAGGGCAAGAGUGACAGUGGGACCAUGCCUUCUGGAAACAGUCCACACUUAAGUUCACUUAAAUUAAAGGUGAAAACAUUUGUGUUCAUUGUGAACUACUAUAGCAAUAUACAAAUUAGCAGAUAUUUUCAGCAGUCUUAGGUAUUACCUCUCUCUACAAACUCUGCUUGCUGUUUUACAGAAAGAUUACUGGUUAAAGAUGGGAAAAAUCUGUCUUUCAAAGGAGCUGUAAUUCAUACCAAGACAGUAUUAUAUACUGUAACAUUCCAAUAUCUGUUUAUUGCGACUCUUCGUUCUACUGCCGCAAGAGGUUUCUAUUAACUAUAUCCUAGAGAUUUGUCUAGAUUAGGAUUUAAAUGUUUGGGCAGACAUCAGAAUGUAUCAGGUAAUUAAUUUCAACUGUUUGAGUUGAGCAUACACUUCAUGUACUAAAUAUUAAUGAGCAAAAUAAAUUUUAUAUAUAGAAGCUUAGAAGAAAAAUAUAUAUAAAAUCAAAAUUGCCUGAAUAUAUUUUUUUCUUUGCCAGGUUUCAGUUCAGUUUUUACAGGGGCAUUACUUAAGCCAAAAACCCAAGUACCUGCGGCAUAACGCUGAUAGGGGAGCAGUGCCAGCAAUCUUUGUAUAAAACAACUCAAGGUUGAUACAACACCAAAAGUCAUAAAAAGGUGGAUGGAAACAAAAGAGGUUUAAGGACUCCUAGGAAGGCUAGGAUGUACAUUUUAAUAGAUAACUGCUUACUUUGUCUUUGAUUGUUUCCUUUAGUUUUCUAUGGUAAAGGGAGUUAAUAAUACUCUGUAGAAGUAAAGUCAGUCACGUAAAUUAAAUAUGCAUUUAUAAUGAAUAUAGUAAAGCACAUCUGACUAUCUUUUAAUCCUGUGUCCUGAUGAAGGAAUUCCUUUAUUUUCAUAAAGACAUUCUAAAUAUUUAAAUUACAUCAUUAACAUCAACAGAAAACUAUUUUUGAUGUAGUUUCCUGCCCCUUUGCCUCCCUGAAUUGGUA